rnacentral:rRNA from 1 species
GACGAACGCUGGCGGCGUGCCUAAUACAUGCAAGUAGAACGCUGAAGGAGGAGCUUGCUCUUCUGGAUGAGUUGCGAACGGGUGAGUAACGCGUAGGUAACCUGCCUGGUAGCGGGGGAUAACUAUUGGAAACGAUAGCUAAUACCGCAUAACAGUAGAUGUUGCAUGACAUUUGCUUAAAAGGUGCAAUUGCACCACUACCAGAUGGACCUGCGUUGUAUUAGCUAGUUGGUGGGGUAACGGCUCACCAAGGCGACGAUACAUAGCCGACCUGAGAGGGUGAUCGGCCACACUGGGACUGAGACACGGCCCAGACUCCUACGGGAGGCAGCAGUAGGGAAUCUUCGGCAAUGGACGGAAGUCUGACCGAGCAACGCCGCGUGAGUGAAGAAGGGUUUCGGAUCGUAAAGCUCGGUUGUAAGAGAAGAACGAGUGUGAGAGUGGAAAGUUCACACUGUGACGGUAUCUGACCAGAAAGGGACGGCUAACUACGUG